rnacentral:rRNA from 1 species
UACGGAGGGGGCUAGCGUUGUUCGGAAUUACUGGGCGUAAAGCGCGCGUUAGGCGGCUUUGUAAGUUAGAGGUGAAAGCCCGGAGCUCAACUCCGGAACUGCCAUUGAAACUGUUUAGCUUGAGGACGAGAGAGGUGAGUGGAAUUCCCAGUGUAGAGGUGAAAUUCGUAGAUAUUGGGAAGAACACCAGUGGCGAAGGCGGCUCACUGGCCCGGUACUGACGCUGAGGCGCGAAAGCGUGGGGAGCAAACAGG